CCGCCCCGCGCGCCCCGCCCCGCGCGUCCAGCUCGCAGGAUGACGUCUGGGAGCGCGUCCUUUCGCCCUUCCCGAAAUCGCGGUCUGGGCCCAAGUCCUGCCAUUCCGUCGCCUCCCGCUAUAAUCUGUGGAAAGCUCUCCCCCCAAAGUGGCUUGCAUUUUUACAACCCGGUUUAUCCCCGUUCCUCCCGCACCUCCCGCACUUUUCCUUGGCACUUGGAACGUGAUGGAGGCGCCCCCCAUAGCUGGGGGUAUCGGACUGUCGCUCCCCGAAAAUCACGCCCCACUAGGCUGGAGGUGACAGCGAAACUCUGCUGGGACAGGGGAGGUUCUGAAGCGCUUUAUGCCUUUAGCGCUUUCCAGCAGCUGUAGCAGCGCAGAGUCUUGCUUUUCCUGCCAGUUACUUUGCUAUUAAGACGCUGGACGGGACGGCUCCCCUGAACCACUCUUUCCUCAAAUAUUAAAACAAAAGGAAACGGGGCAGCAUUCUGGACAACUGCUAGAACUUGUGGGGUUCCCUGGUGCGGUCCCAACACUACCCCCCCACCACCCCCCUUAAGUGCCUGUCUCUCCUCAUUCUCCUUUUCCUUAAGACUGGCCCCCACCCCAACACUUCCUUACCUGGAGCCGGGAUUUCCAGCCUUGGGUUUUUCCAUUCUCCGUUUCCUCUUUGUUUCACUCUUCCUCCUACUCUACCAUGGACUUGCCCUCAGGCUGGGGAGUCAGGCUGUUUACUCCUUCACUGCUUGACCUCCCCAAAUCUCUCUCCUUCAAGCUGCGGCGGGCACUUGGAACUCCCCAUCUUAUUGGCUAGUCCCCCUCAAAUCCAUCUGAUCCCAGACUCAAUUACUACUGUAUUCCCAGAACCAGCUCCUGGCGUCAGCCUCCCCAUCAGCCCCCUUUCUUUCAGUCAGAAGCACCAGAAUGACCACUGCUCAGCCAUUGCAGUCCAGGGAAUUCUUCCUUACCCUGUGAGCAGGAAACUCCUCCCAUGAACUGGACCCGUAAGCGGGACUCUCUGUUGUCCUAACAAACACCAACAUAUCUGCCAGUUGUGAAGCGGUGGAAGGGUACUUGACUGUUGCUGUCAUCACCAUCAUGCUCAGAUUACUGAGGCUCAGAGAAGGAUGGGCAGCCAUACUACUGCUUGGACUGGCCAGCAAAAUCUGUCAACCCCCUCAAGAGCAGGGCCGAGGAAAGGACUGCCCAGUUACCUGGGGCUGGGAAGUAUUCCUCAGGUCAUGGUCACCAGGUAUCAGAUGUGGUGAACUUCCCCCAAAACCUCCCAGCGCCUGAGUUAUACAGGGAACAGAAAUGGGUGUGCUGUGUGGGCUCACUGCACAGGAAUGAGCAGCUCCUGCGCUCUCCUCCAUCCUGGAAAAGCCUUGCUGAGCGGUUCACGGUCAGGACGAUACUACAGAGUUUGAGGAAGAUGGUGUGGUCUUGCUGCCAAGACCAGGGAGAACGCUGUUCCAUGUUCCUGCUCUCCUGCUCUAUCGGUCUCCUCUUACUACAUCCUAUCUCCCCACCCCCACCCAAAAAAAAGCUAGAUUCUGAACUGGCCUAUCAGGCCUCCAGGCCUGUGUGUUGAGCAGUGCAAAACUCUGGCCUUGACAGUCAGGGUAGAUGUGUAUGUAUGUAUGCAUAUGUGAUAUAUAUACAUUUGCAGCAGCUGAUAGUAAAGUGU